UUAUUGGGCGUAAGAGCUCGUAGGCGGUUUGUCGCGUCUGCUGUGAAAUCCCGAGGCUCAACCUCGGGCUUGCAGUGGGUACGGGCAGACUAGAGUGCGGUAGGGGAGAUUGGAAUUCCUGGUGUAGCGGUGGAAUGCGCAGAUAUCAGGAGGAACACCGAUGGCGAAGGCAGAUCUCUGGGCCGUAACUGACGCUGAGGAGCGAAAGCAUGGGGAGCGAACAGGAUUAGAUACCCUGGUAGUCCAUGCCGUAAACGUUGGGCGCUAGAUGUAGGGACCUUUCCACGGUUUCUGUGUCGUAGCUAACGCAUUAAGCGCCCCGCCUGGGGAGUACGGCCGCAAGGCUAAAACUCAAAGGAAUUGACGGGGGCCCGCACAAGCGGCGGAGCAUGCGGAUUAAUUCGAUGCAACGCGAAGAACCUUACCAAGGCUUGACAUACACCGGAAACGGCCAGAGAUGGUCGCCCCCUUGUGGUCGGUGUACAGGUGGUGCAUGGUUGUCGUCAGCUCGUGUCGUGAGAUGUUGGGUUAAGUCCCGCAACGAGCGCAACCCUCGUUCUAUGUUGCCAGCGGGUUAUGCCGGGGACUCAUAGGAGACUGCCGGGGUCAACUCGGAGGAAGGUGGGGAUGACGUCAAAUCAUCAUGCCCCUUAUGUCUUGGGCUUCACGCAUGCUACAAUGGCCGGUACAAAGGGCUGCGAUACCGUAAGGUGGAGCGAAUCCCAAAAAGCCGGUCUCAGUUCGGAUUGAGGUCUGCAACUCGACCUCAUGAAGUCGGAGUCGCUAGUAAUCGCAGAUCAGCAACGCUGCGGUGAAUACGUUCCCGGGCCUUGUACACACCGCCCGUCAAGUCAUGAAAGUCGGUAACACCCGAAGCCGGUGGCCUAACCCUUGUGGAAUGAGCCGUCGAAUGUGGGAUCGGUG
rnacentral:rRNA from 2 species